rnacentral:lncRNA from 1 species
GUAUGCCGUACCAGUGUCUCCACACUCUUUGGUUAAGAGGACAACCAAACCAUAUAGCGUACAGCGACCUAUGCUCGAUAGAAACUGUCGUCCUUAUUAAUAGCCUAUCAUUUGAUCGUGAAUAGUUUUAAGGACUAAUCGAUAAAUCCUUUCUUUAUCAAAUCUAAAUAGUCCUAAGGACUUCAUCACAACAAUGGAGU